GUGUUCCUACGGGAGGCAGCAGUGAGGAAUAUUGGUCAAUGGGCGGUAGCCUGAACCAGCCAAGUAGCGUGAAGGAUGAAGGUUCUAUGGGUUGUAAACUUCUUUUAUAAAGGAAUAAAGUGAGGCACGUGUGCCUUUUUGUAUGUACUUUAUGAAUAAGGAUCGGCUAACUCCGUGCCAGCAGCCGCGGUAAUACGUAGGAUCCGAGCGUUAUCCGGAUUUAUUGGGUUUAAAGGGAGCGUAGAUGGGUUGUUAAGUCAGUUGUGAAAGUUUGCGGCUCAACCGUAAAAUUGCAAUUGAUACUG
rnacentral:rRNA from 1 species